rnacentral:lncRNA from 1 species
AUUCAUGGUAUUAGUAUGCAAUUUGAGACUAUCAUAUGUUCUCUCUGGAGAAAACCAAAGUUUGAUUCACUGUUUUGUGUCUUUGAAAGUGAAUGGAAGGGAAGGUUUGGCUCCCAUGGUCUUUUAUCAGCAAGUUAAUUUUGAAUCACCCAAGAAAAUCAAAGGCGGCAUAAGGAAGGGAAGAAUGUAUCAGUCGCACAGAAGCAGCAAUACUGCUCUGAAGGAAUGAUGAAAUGUGCUUUAUCCUGGCGGUGACCGCAGCUGCUUCACUAUGGGAAAAACUGAGAAGUUGCCCUGACUUACCAUCUGCCACGUUCUGCAGUGGAAGCUGGCCAUGUAGGCCAACCCAAUGUGUGGUUUGAGUUUUCGUUCUGUUUUGUUUUCUUGGGAUCUCGGCACUUGCAUUUUAAAGAAAUUAUCAAGUUAAAGCACAGAUCUUGGUGUUCGUGGGUCUGCUUGUGUGGGCAUGUGCUAUCCUCAGCCUCAUAUGGCUUUGAGCAUUCCUGAAAAAGCCUUUGAUCUGAGUUAGGAUGUUCAGUAUUUCGGAGGACGUGGUACUUGAGGGUACAAACUGUUUAGGAAAUGAGACAGAACUGCAUUUUUACAAGGUUAAGUAGGAAUUGGGAAUGUGCUUCAUGUGCAUUGAGAGGCGCUGGGAACAUCAAAGCGCUCUGUCCCAGAUUGAUUAUUUCAACCACAUGAAUAGGCCACACUGAAUUUACCAUUCAGAUGAGGUAUUUGCACGCAUACGUGCUUUUUGUGAAAGAGGUGGGUUUGUGCACACUGGUUGGUAAUAGCGCGCGUGACUCAAGCUUGUUUUGCAACCGACACUGCACAGCACAGAUUUAUGCCCCCAUAACCCAUACUGUUCAUACCCAAGUACCCAUUUGUGAAGGCAGGGAGAUGUGAAUGUGGGCACAAGACCUGUGCAUAAGGGAUCAUAUGGGUACAUCCAUUCCUCCUUUGACUAAAGGCUUGCACACAGCACUGUUGAACUCAGUGGCAAUACUCGUGUUGUCCUGGAUGGGAGCAGCCAUGGGUACUGCUCCCUCAAACUGUCCCUCACAGGGUAAUGCACUUUCAGUUUCAAUAACUGUUUUAUGACUUGUAUUUCUUCUUUUUUUUUCUUUUUUUUUUUUUUUAAUGUUGAGCUAACUGCUAGAAUGUGCUCUUUUUACAAUGCUUAGUCGCCCAGUAAUUCCAGAUAUCCUUUGAAAGGAGGCAGAAGGAUAAUAAACUGUGGAAUCCCAAACCA